rnacentral:rRNA from 1 species
GACGAACGCUGGCGGCGUGCUUAACACAUGCAAGUCGAACGGAAAGGCCCUGCUUGCAGGGUACUCGAGUGGCGAACGGGUGAGUAACACGUGGGUGAUCUGCCCUGCACUUCGGGAUAAGCCUGGGAAACUGGGUCUAAUACCGGAUAGGAGCCAUAUUUAGUGUGAUGGUUGGAAAGUUUUUUCGGUGUAGGAUGAGCUCGCGGCCUAUCAGCUUUUUGGUGGGGUAAUGGCCUACCAAGGCGGCGACGGGUAGCCGGCCUGAGAGGGUGGACGGCCACAUUGGGACUGAGAUACGGCCCAGACUCCUACGGGAGGCAGCAGUGGGGAAUAUUGCACAAUGGGCGCAAGCCUGAUGCAGCGACGCCGCGUGGGGGAUGACGGCCUUCGGGUUGUAAACUCCUUUCGCUAGGGACGAAGCUUUUUGUGACGGUACCUAGAUAAGAAGCACCGGCUAACUACGUG